rnacentral:rRNA from 1 species
GACGAACGCUGGCGGCGUGCCUAAUACAUGCAAGUAGAACGCUGAAGGAGGAGCUUGCUUCUCCGGAUGAGUUGCGAACGGGUGAGUAACGCGUAGGUAACCUGCCUUGUAGCGGGGGAUAACUAUUGGAAACGAUAGCUAAUACCGCAUAAGAGUAGAUGUCGCAUGACAUUUGCUUAAAAGGUGCAACUGCACCACUACCAGAUGGACCUGCGUUGUAUUAGCUAGUUGGUGAGGUAACGGCUCACCAAGGCAACGAUACAUAGCCGACCUGAGAGGGUGAUCGGCCACACUGGGAAUGAGAAAAGGCCCAGACUCCUACGGGAGGCAGCAGUAGGGAAUCUUCGGCAAUGGACGGAAGUCUGACCGAGCAACGCCGCGUGAGGGAAGAAGGUUUUCGGAUCGUAAAGCUCUGUUGUAAGAGAAGAACGAGUGUGAGAGUGGAAAGUUCACACUGUGACGGUAUCUUACCAGAAAGGGACGGCUAACUACGUG